CCUGAGACAUCCUUCCUACACCACUCAGGAGCAUAGCAGGCCCCGACAUGGAUUUUUAAGCUAGUAACUAAGCAACAUGAUGAUGGAGCAGAGGGGGCUGGGCCACAGUCUAUAGUUCUAGGCUCCCUUAAGCUUCGAAAAGGACCUCAGUACUGCAGAUGCCCCAUCCGCAGAGUGAUAUGGAGGCUGAACUUGGACAACUUGUAGCUUGCAUUGUCUAGUGAGAAGCAAGAGAAUAGCAGAUUCAGGGUGUCAGCAGCCUCCCAAGAGAACACCAUACCCAACAGACUAGAGAGAAUUGCCUACCAGCGAGAGAGGCUGGGCUGUGUUACAGCUAGCUGACAUGCCAGUCAGAGUGAAGACACGUUUUGGAGGUGGAAAAGUCCAUAGAAAUGGGGCAGUGCAGGGCUGGGGUUCUCCUAGGAGCUUUUUCUUCUUUCUGGUCCCAGUAUUAGAUAUGGUGCCCAGACUGUAAGUUUCAGCCAGAAAGGAAGAUGAGAAAUUCUCUGCUACACAUCAGGAUGGAAAGAUACAAAAA
rnacentral:lncRNA from 1 species